UUCCUCUGUGUUUACUCUGAUGUUUACGUUUGAAAACUUGAGCAAGCUGGCUAGAUAGCCCAGGCUAACAGAGUCGGCAGGAGGUCAGCGGGAGGUUAGCAGAGUCGGCAGGAGACUGGCAAGUUGAUUUCCCGAUCCUUAUAAGGGACUCAUAGCCACAUGCUAUCACCCCAAAUGAAGCACUACU